rnacentral:rRNA from 1 species
GAUGAACGCUAGCGGCAGGCCUAACACAUGCAAGUCGAGGGGUAGAGUUCUUCGGGACUUGAGACCGGCGCACGGGUGCGUAACGCGUAUGCAAUCUACCUUUUGCAGAGGGAUAGCCCCAGAGAAAUUUUAGGAUUAAUACCCUCAUAGUAUAGUACUUUGGCAUCAAGGAACUAUUAAAGUCACAACGGCAAAGAUGAGCAUGCGUCCCAUUAGCUAGUUGGUAAGGUAACGGCUUACCAAGGCUACGAUGGGUAGGGGUCCUGAGAGGGAGAUCCCCCCACACUGGUACUGAGACACGGACCAGACUCCUACGGGAGGCAGCAGUGAGGAAU